UACGGAGGGUGCGAGCGUUGUCCGGAAUCACUGGGCGUAAAGGGCGCGUAGGUGGCCCGACAAGUCAACGGUGAAAGCUCGAUGCUCAACAUCGAGUCGGCCGUCGAUACUGUCAGGCUGGAGCACUGUAGAGGCUCAUGGAAUUCCGGGUGUAGCGGUGGAAUGCGCAGAUAUCAGGAGGAACACCGGUGGCGAAGGCGGGUCUCUGGGCAGUAACUGACGCUGAGGAGCGAAAGCGUGGGGAGCGAACAGG
rnacentral:rRNA from 1 species